GAAAAUGGAACGGUCGAAAAUUCGCACUAUUAUAAAGUAUGAGUUCUUACGUGGAACUACGAAAUAGACGCGUGAAACAUUAACAGUGUAUUUGGCUCUAGUGUAACUAAACAGCAGACAGUAUCAAAUUGGUUCGCCAAAUUUCGUACAGGUUAUUUCGACCUCAACGAUGAGCCACGCGUUUGCUCAGAAUCAAAGGUUAUCGCACCUGUCCAGCGCAGGUGAGAUUCGUUAUGAUUUUAUGAAACCUGGCUCACCGAUCACAGCAGAAAUAUACUGCAACCAACUGCACGAAAUGAUGCAAACACUUAAAAAAAACAGCCUAGAUUGGUCAACAAAUCGACUCCCAUCUUAUUGCAUGAUAACGUUAGAUCGCACACUGCACAAACGACUGUGGCAAAACUACAGGAAUUGGAGUUGGAAGUUCUUCAUCACCCUCCAUACUCGUCGGACCUAGCCCCCACUGUCUGUCACUUGUUCCACAAUUUGAACAAUUUUUGAAUAGGAAAACAAUUGAAUUCCGACAAUGCUGUAAAACUGGUCUUCCAGAAUUUCAUUGACCCUCGUCCGCCAGGGUUUUAUAUCACCGGCCUGAACAACCUGCCGCUUAAAUGGCAAAAGUGCAUAGACAAUAUGGGUGCAUACUUUGAUGAAUAAAAUAAUUCCACGUA